rnacentral:rRNA from 1 species
UAGUCCACGCCGUAAACGAUGUAUGCUCGCCCCGUGGUCGUUAUCCAUACGACUGGGGGGCUUAGUCAACACGGUAAGCAUACCGCCUGGGAACUACGAGCGCAAGCUUAAAACUCAAAGGAAUUGACGGGGACCCGCACAAGCAGCGGAGCGUGUGGUUUAAUUCGACGCAACACGAAAUACCUCACCUGGCCUUGACAUGUGUCUGCACGCGUAUGAAAGUACGUUCCUUCGAGGGUGACACAC